CAAGUAUUAAAAAUUAUUAAGUAAAAGUUCACAAUACAGACAACUGGUAAAACAAAUUGUUCAUAAAUUUCAAAAUUUACAAAAAAUCAAUGAAAGCACUUCGGAAAAAAUAUGUCUUAAGAUCCUUUUUAAAAACGUCAAGAGAUUGUUCAUUUCGUAAGGAUGAAGGUAAGCUGUUCCAAAGAGUUGGUGCGGCAAUAUCGAACCGUCGUUCACCAUAGCGUUUUGUCCUAACAUCGUUUGGUAGUCGUAACAGCAUGCUUUUCUCCGAUCGCAAGGCUCUACCAGGUUUGUAAUGUUCAACUAAUUCCUGUAGGUAUGAUGGUGCCUUGCCAUGAAUUGCUUUAAAAAUGUACAGCAGGAGUUUGUACUGACAACGAAAAUGAACCGGUAACCAGUGCAAUGAAAUGAGAACAGGUGUUAUUGAAUCGUAUUUUCUCUUGCGCGUUAUUAGCCGUGCUGCUGUAUUUUGCACACGCUGUAGUUUUGUUAUUACACAGCUAUUUGUUCCGUAUAACAGCGCAUUACCAUAAUCUAGUCGUGAUGUAACGAGUGAGCACACUAGAGUCUUACAUGCCUCAUCUGUAAUCAGGGAUCUAAUGCGACCAAUAUUUCGUAUCUGAUGAAAACAUGCUUUUGUCGUUGCACUAGCUUGUUGUUCCAUGCUGAGUGUUUUGUCAAAAUAAAAUCCAAGAUUUUUCACACAAGAAGCAUCAGUCAAUAUAGUUCCAUCGAAUGUUAGUUGGAAACUGGAUAGUUGCUUUAGUUGUUGUUUUGGUGCAAACACAAUUAAUUCGGUUUUGUCUUUGUUUAAUUUAAGCAUGUUGAUACUCAUCCAUGCACUGAUAUCCGACAAACAGUUCUCAAGACGAUUGGAGAGGUCCGACCAGUCUCCAAGAGGUUUAAUGACUUGAUACACUUGCGUGUCGUCAGCGUAUGAAUGGUAAGACAUCCCAUGUCGCCUGCAAAUUUCUCCGACUGGUUUGGCAAACAUACAGAAAAGUUUUGGUCCCAACACAGAGCCUUGUGGUACACCAAAGCCGAGUCUGA
rnacentral:lncRNA from 1 species